CAGAGGGUAGUUUAUAAAAAUAUUAGUUUUGGGGACUAAAGAUAGGGCAGAAGCUUUACCUCUGA
rnacentral:tRNA from 2 species